GACGAACGCUGGCGGCGUGCUUAACACAUGCAAGUCGAGCGGUAAGGCCCUUUCGGGGGGUACACGAGCGGCGAACGGGUGAGUAACACGUGGGUGACCUGCCCUUAGCUCUGGGAUAAGCCUGGGAAACUGGGUCUAAUACCGGAUAUGACCUCAUGACUCAUGUUGUGGGGUGGAAAGCCUUGUGCGGCUAGGGAUGGGCCCGCGGCCUAUCAGCUUGUUGGUGGGGUAAUGGCCUACCAAGGCGACGACGGGUAGCCGGCCUGAGAGGGCGACCGGCCACACUGGGACUGAGACACGGCCCAGACUCCUACGGGAGGCAGCAGUGGGGAAUCUUGCGCAAUGGGCGAAAGCCUGACGCAGCGACGCCGCGUGA
rnacentral:rRNA from 1 species